CCAUGCAGACACGGGAGACGUUGGACCCGCGCCAAGGCCGAAGGAGCAACCGCCCCGGUAAACUCUCAGGCAAAAGGACCGGUCUGCAAGA
rnacentral:ncRNA from 1 species